rnacentral:rRNA from 1 species
ACGAGUGGCGGACGGGUGGGUAAUGUCUGGGAAACUGCCCGAUGGAGGGGGAUAACUACUGGAAACGGUAGCUAAUACCGCAUAACGUCGCAAGACCAAAGAGGGGGACCUUAGGGCCUCUUGCCAUCGGAUGUGCCCAGAUGGGAUUAGCUAGUAGGUGGGGUAAAGGCUCACCUAGGCGACGAUCCCUAGCUGGUCUGAGAGGAUGACCAGCCACACUGGAACUGAGACACGGUCCAG